UGGAUCCAGACUUUGAUCCUGGCUCAGGAUGAACGCUAGCUACAGGCUUAACACAUGCAAGUCGAGGGGAAACGACAUCGAAAGCUUGCUUUUGAUGGGCGUCGACCGGCGCACGGGUGAGUAACGCGUAUCCAACCUGCCCACCACUUGGGGAUAACCUUGCGAAAGUAAGACUAAUACCCAAUGAUAUCUCUAGAAGACAUCUGAAGGAGAUUAAAGAUUUAUCGGUGAUGGAUGGGGAUGCGUCUGUUUAGCUUGUUGGCGGGGUAACGGCCCACCAAGGCGACGAUCAGUAGGGGUUCUGAGAGGAAGGUCCCCCACAUUGGAACUGAGACACGGUCCAAACUCCUACGGGAGGCAGCAGUGAGGAAUAUUGGUCAAUGGACGAGAGUCUGAACCAGCCAAGUAGCGUGCAGGAUGACGGCCCUAUGGGUUGUAAACUGCUUUUAUAAGGGAAUAAAGUGAGUCUCGUGAGACUUUUUGCAUGUACCUUAUGAAUAAGGACCGGCUAAUUCCGUGCCAGCAGCCGCGGUAAUACGGAAGGUCCGGGCGUUAUCCGGAUUUAUUGGGUUUAAAGGGAGCGUAGGCCGGAGAUUAAGCGUGUUGUGAAAUGUAGAUGCUCAACGUCUGCACUGCAGCGCGAACUGGUUUCCUUGAGUACGCACAAAGUGGGCGGAAUUCGUGGUGUAGCGGUGAAAUGCUUAGAUAUCACGAAGAACUCCGAUUGCGAAGGCAGCUCACUGGAGCGCAACUGACGCUGAAGCUCGAAAGUGCGGGUAUCGAACAGGAUUAGAUACCCUGGUAGUCCGCACGGUAAACGAUGGAUGCCCGCUGUUGGUCUGAAUAGGUCAGCGGCCAAGCGAAAGCAUUAAGCAUCCCACCUGGGGAGUACGCCGGCAACGGUGCAACUCAAAGGAAUUGACGGA
rnacentral:rRNA from 1 species